GCAUCAAUAGUAGAGUCCAGACUGAAGCUUUUUUCAGGAAUCAACAGCUUGUUCUCUGGUCUCUCCAUCUGAUACAAUAUAUAAAUAGAAGAUACAAAUGUAAUCUGUACCCUGUGCUUAGGAAAAGAAAACUCAGAUGAGAAAACUGAACAAUGUAAUAUCUACAAGGACAAGAAAAGUUUAUUUAUGCUGAAAAACAGGCUCAAAAUCUCAACAGCAGAAGUAAGGGCAUGAACAGGAGCAGUGAGGUAAAACAGCGGACAUCUUUAGCAAAGUAAGAAGACACCAGUUAAGGAGAUAAUAGGGAAAGAGUUUGAAAGAAUUUUAGAUAAGCAACUUGAUUAGCGGUCCAGUACAACAUGUGCACAGGUCCUAAACAAAUGGAAAGGGUCAACCUAACUGAAGGAAAAAGAAAAUAACUCUCCAUGCUGGGACACACACAGAACUCUUCAUUCUGAGUGCCAAAGCAGCUACAACUUGGCUCAACAAUUGAACUUUACUUCCCUACUAAUUCCAUCUGAUUGAUUCUGCCUUCCUCACCUGAGAAGUCAUCUCUUAAGACUUCUCUAGUCUUAGUUUCCAGAUCAAAGACCUGUAGAUCCUGUUCCAGCUGGGAGAGCCCAUCAGGCUUGGAAAUUGGAAAUCCUGAUCAUAGAGAAGGAAAUGGGUGUGGCAAUGUAUCCCCAGAUGCUACACCAGCCACUUUUUCUUUUAACUAAUGAUUAAGACAGAGAGAAGGUAAACUCUGAGAAGACGUUAAUUAGGAAGGCCUGGAGAGUGAAGAGGGCAAAGAUCUUCUACAAGGAGCUCAAAUUUGGGCUCUAGAAAGAUGUGUGUUAAGGGGCAAGUUGAUGGCUUGGGAGCAGAAGGAUUCAUUUAAACAUUAUUCGGACAACAGGAUGUGUGCAUGGGUUUGUCUUCACAGAAGUUAUCCUUAUCACUCUCCAUCUGUUACCUAAAGAUCAAUCUUUGGAUUAGAGCUGGUCUACAAGCAUCAAAAUGGAGGUCAUCAAAAUAUAAUUCUGCUGGACUGGAGAAAGGUGAAACUCAAGCAUCUGCUACAUGGUUAGCUAACCUGUAGCAAAAGAAUCAGU
rnacentral:lncRNA from 1 species